UACGGAAGGCAGCAGUGGGGAAUAUUGCACAAUGGGCGCAAGCCUGAUGCAGCCAUGCCGCGUGUAUGAAGAAGGCCUUCGGGUUGUAAAGUACUUUCAGUCGUGAGGAAGGUGUUAAGGUUAAUAACCUUAGCAAUUGACGUUAGCGACAGAAGAAGCACCGGCUAACUCCGUGCCAGCAGCCGCGGUAAUACGGAGGGUGCGAGCGUUAAUCGGAAUUACUGGGCGUAAAGGGCACGCAGGCGGUUAAUUAAGUUGGAUGUGAAAUCCCCGGGCUUAACCUGGGAAUGGCAUUCAAGACUGGUUAGCUAGAGUCUUGUAGAGGGGGUUAGAAUUCCAUGUGUAGCGGUGAAAUGCGUAGAGAUGUGGAGGAAUACCGGUGGCGAAGGCGGCCCCCUGGACAAAGGACUGACGCUCAUGUGCGAAAGCGUGGGGAGCAAACAGGGAUUAGAUACC
rnacentral:rRNA from 1 species